rnacentral:rRNA from 1 species
GAUGAACGCUGGCGGCGUGCCUAAUACAUGCAAGUCGAGCGAACAGACGCGGAGCUUGCUCCUCUGACGUUAGCGGCGCACGUGUGUGUAACACGUGUAUAACCUACCUAUAAGACUGGUAUAACUUCGGGAAACCGGAGCUUAUACCGUAUAAUAUAUUGAAGCACAUUGUUCAAUAGUGAAAGUCGGUUUUUCUGUCUCUUCUAGAUGGAUCUCCGCCUCAUUAGCUAGUUGUUGAGUUAACGGCUUUCCAAGGCAAGCAUGCGUAGGCGACGUGAGAGGGGGGUAGGCGGCACUAGAGCGGAGACACGGUCAAUACGACUACGGGAGGCAGCAGUCGGGAAUGGUCGGCAGUAGGGGAGAGCAUGACGGAGCAACGCCGAGUGAGUGAUGAAGGUCUUGGGAUCGUAAUGCUGUGUUAUUAGGGAAGAACCAAUGUGUAAGUAACUAUGCACGGCUUGACGGUACCUGAUCAGAAAGCAACGGCUAACUACGUG